rnacentral:rRNA from 1 species
AGUGAACGCUGGCGGUAGGCCUAACACAUGCAAGUCGAACGGCAGCACAGUAAGAGCUUGCUCUUACGGGUGGCGAGUGGCGGACGGGUGAGGAAUACAUCGGAAUCUACUUUUUCGUGGGGGAUAACGUAGGGAAACUUACGCUAAUACCGCAUACGACCUACGGGUGAAAGCAGGGGAUCUUCGGACCUUGCGCGAUUGAAUGAGCCGAUGUCGGAUUAGCUAGUUGGCGGGGUAAAGGCCCACCAAGGCGACGAUCCGUAGCUGGUCUGAGAGGAUGAUCAGCCACACUGAAACUGAGACACGGUCCAGACUCCUACGGGAGGCAGCAGUGGGGAAUAUUGGACAAGGGGCGAAAGCCUGAUCCAGCCAUACCGCGUGGGUGAAGAAGGCCUUCGGGUUGUAAAGCCCUUUUGUUGGAAAAGAAAAGCAGCAGGUUAAUACCCCGCUGUUCUGACGGUACCAAAAGAAUAAGCACCGGCUAACUUCG